GGUCCAGUAACUCAGUGGUUAAGAGCACCAGCAUAUAUUAGCUAGGUCCUUGGUUCAAUCCCAGGCUGGGUCA